UGAGUGAUUUCAGUACAGAGGCAGGGGAAAGACAAUGACCUUCAAAUGACCUUUCCUAAUAUGCCCAGAGUGACUGUUCUGCAUCAGGAAGCAUGGGCUAUGUUUGAAUUGAGGGCCAUAGCCUGGAGGUCUGAUCCGAAUUCCCUUUCCCUGGACUGGAAGAAACACAGUCUCACUAUCUUGCCAACAACUGCCUGUGGCAAAUUCAGUACCCGGCUUGAUGCAGCAUUUGGAGGAAAAUUUUCCAUGAAAACAAAAGUUUUUGCUUAAUUAUUCAGCACACUCAUGCAUUUAAAAAUACUGUCCACUCUCUAACUAGCUGUCUUUUUAAUAAAGCUUCUUGUCUCCCAAGGAGCUCGGCUCCCAUUGUCUAAGGCUUCUUUAUAAAGAACUCUGGGCCAGGCAUAAUCCCAGCUGUCCCUGGGUUUAGAGUGAAGCUUCCCCAGGCAGAGUGAGGUGUCUGAACUGCUUUUCCACAGAGAUAUGAGGAAAGCACAUCUGAGCUCCCUAGGGGCUGGUGUAGGCAGAGUGUGGAUGGCCAUUAGACAGUGAGACAAGGUCAUUUGCCCCUAGCGUGGCUGGUGAGUUUAAGGGGAUCAGAAAAGUCUUUCUCCAUACUGUUUCUUCAUCCAAUUUUAUUUAUCCAUUCAUCUGACAUCUACUCAUCUGGCCAUCCAUCCAACACAUAUUUGUUGCCUACUGUGUACCCAACACUGUUCUAUGUCCUGAGACCAUCUGUACAGAGAAGAAUCAAUGUAGAACAAUUUUCAGAGGAAACUGGGAAUUUUUCUAAUGGCCUAGAGGAGACCUUGCAGUUUUUGCCUUUCCCCAAUUUAUUAUCUGAUUUCUUUGGAACUUGCUUGAUGCAUGGCGUUUGGGAGACCUGGCUCCACUGAUAGAGAUUAUCUCAUCACGAGGAGGGGUGUCAGACCUCAGCUCCCAGAGGGCAGAAACGUGCUUGUCUUGCUGACUUCAUGCACAGUUCAGCCCAGCACUAGCUCAGCAGAAGGUGGAUAACUGAAGGAUCUGGAUGGUUAAAUGCUAUUUAUCAAAACAGCAGCCCACUUAGAUACCAGAGUUGCCGCAUUUAAUGCAGUUACCAACCUACGUGUGUCCCCUUAAUAUUCUAGCCUACUUCCCCAGUCUCCUUGCUGAAGAUGCCAGGAACAGCAACAUCAAAGAAAGAGAAAGUGCCUGAAGUUGGAAUAGUGAGUCAUUCUGGAGUGAAGCCAGCGAAUUGGGAGGGGCUGUCACUUUGCCCAUGAUCCUGCCAGAGGGUCUUUCUGCCACCAUUUACCUUUUCUGAGGCGCUGACUUCUUUCUAGCAGGGGUGGAGACGUGGGUUGGGUGGUGAUGGUUUGAGGAAUGGAGUUUGCAGUCAUCUCCAACUCUGGGCCAUAGAAGGCAGUUCAGGCUUACCAAUCAUUUGAUUUCCACAGCUAAAUAGAGGACAGUGAGAGGACAGUAGCAUUCAGAAAGAAUUUAGGUAGACAUUUGGGAGGACUUCCUGACUCUAAGGUCCCAAAGAGACUGAAAAGUUAAUGAAUUAGCCAUGGCCAUUGGUUUCUUCAUCUGUUAAACUGGGAUAAAUUCCUAUCUUGAAGGUGGCUAUAAUGACAGGAUUUAAAGAGAUAAUGUAUCUGAGGGCCCCAAGCACAGUGGUUGACACAUAAUAAGCACUUAAUCCUUGUUGAAUCUCGAAUUUGAAUAUGAUUCCUGGAGAGGAAAGAGAGGCUUCUUAGAGAAGGCAGCCUCUAAGCUGGACCAUGUACAUUGCUAAGAAUAUUUUGGCCAAUAGGAUACUGCUUUUUAAGGAUUUCCCCCAUGGACAGUCCAUCUUGCAAAUGACUCUUCUGAUAUUGACUUUAAAAAUAAAAUUGUUAUCCUGAGCCUCUUUUGGAAACAUAAAAAACAAAGUGCAAAGAGAUCACUGCCGUUCUCAGAUUCUGUGAUUUGCCCAUACCAAGAGUCAGAAGGUCUCCAGAGCCAUUGGCACUGAGAUCUGAACAUAAGCUAUGGUUUCUGAGCAGGUAGGAGAAAAUAAAACUCCAGUAUUUUGUCAAUAAGUGCCUUAACUCGGUAUUGCUAAGCUUAUUAUUUCCAAUUCCCUAUUCUUUUCUUACAUCAAAAGUUAAAAGAGUAGGGAUUCUCUACUUUGUCCCACUAAAGACAAUAGAGUAGAUAAUAGGAUGGCAUUACAGCAGUGCAGAUUUAUAGUAGACAUUGGCAAGAACUUUGAGAUAGGAAAGAAGGGAUUAAAAUUGGACUGGAUAGCCAGAGCUAGCCUGAGAUUCUUUUUCAGACAUCUUCAAGAAUGGGAGAGGCUACUGUCUACCUAACACAGGUGCCUCAUAAGAUUACCUUGUAAGAUUUCUUCCAGAUCCAAGAUUCUCCAGAGACAAGGCUGAGAAACAGUUGUCAUGCUUAACUUCAGAAGCUGCUGAGCGUGGCCAGGGUCAGAAGCGGUCCCUUCAGAGGGACCUAUGUUUUGUUUCUGCUGCCAUUUGGUAAAGGGAGUCACCAGACUGGGAGAAUCGUUUGACAAGUGAGGUCAGGGAAAUGGCAAUUUUUGAUCCCAGGUGGCGAGAAAGCCUCCCAGUGAAGGUAAACAGAAGUGGAGAUAGAUCAAGGGGUGAGGGGUCAGUCCAUUAGAAGGCUGACAAGGCCAGCUGUCUUCUGGAGUGUCUGGAGGGAGGGAUGCUGAUGUGAUUGACCUCAGUCUUGGGAUGGGAGCAGGAGCGGGGGAAAGGACGUGAGUAGCAGGAUGGAGGAAGGAGACCACGGCAAGAGUGAGAAAGGGGCAUCUCUAGCCCAAUUUCUGCACAUGGAUACUGCUAGCUUUGGGCAGUUUAGCCUUGUGCUGCAGUUGUGCCAAGUGGAGUUGAGAGGUUGGCUAAAAAAAAAAAACCCAAAAAACCUCUUACUCAUUUGCAUGUGGUAUUUGCAUCUCAUUUGCAUAUAUUCACUUAAUGUCAG
rnacentral:lncRNA from 1 species